rnacentral:rRNA from 1 species
AGAGUUUGAUCCUGGCUCAGAGUGAACGCUGGCGGCAGGCCUAACACAUGCAAGUCGAACGGCAGCACAGAGGAGCUUGCUCCUUGGGUGGCGAGUGGCGGACGGGUGAGGAAUACAUCGGAAUCUGCCCAGUCGUGGGGGAUAACAUAGGGAAACUUAUGCUAAUACCGCAUACGACCUACGGGUGAAAGCGGGGGAUCGCAAGACCUCGCGCGAUUGGAUGAGCCGAUGUCCGAUUAGCUAGUUGGCGGGGUAAUGGCCCACCAAGGCGACGAUCGGUAGCUGGUCUGAGAGGAUGAUCAGCCACACUGGAACUGAGACACGGUCCAGACUCCUACGGGAGGCAGCAGUGGGGAAUAUUGGACAAUGGGGCGCAAGCCUGAUCCAGCCAUGCCGCGUGGGUGAAGAAGGCCUUCGGGUUGUAAAGCCCUUUUGUCCGGAAAGAAAAGCUCGAGGUUAAUACCUUCGGGUUCUGACGGUACCGGAAGAAUAAGCACCGGCUAACUUCGUG